UACAGAGGUCCCAAGCGUUGUUCGGAUUCACUGGGCGUAAAGGGUGCGUAGGUGGUGAGGUAAGUCGGAUGUGAAAGCUCGGAGCUCAACUCCGAAAUGGCAUUGGAAACUACCUUGCUCGAGGGAUGGAGGGGGGACUGGAAUUCCCGGUGUAGCAGUGAAAUGCGUAGAUAUCGAGAGGAACACCAGUGGCGAAGGCGAGUCCCUGGACAUCUCCUGACACUGAGGCACGAAAGCUAGGGGAGCAAACAGG
rnacentral:rRNA from 1 species